rnacentral:rRNA from 1 species
AGUGAACGCUGGCGGCAGGCCUAACACAUGCAAGUCGAGCGGCAGCGGGUCCUUCGGGAUGCCGGCGAGCGGCGGACGGGUGAGGAAUGCGUCGGAAUCUGCCUUUUUGUGGGGGAUAACGUAGGGAAACUUACGCUAAUACCGCAUACGACCUGCGGGUGAAAGUGGGGGACCGCAAGGCCUCACGCAGAAAGAUGAGCCGACGUCGGAUUAGCUAGUUGGCGGGGUAAAGGCCCACCAAGGCGACGAUCCGUAGCUGGUCUGAGAGGAUGAUCAGCCACACUGGAACUGAGACACGGUCCAGACUCCUACGGGAGGCAGCAGUGGGGAAUAUUGGACAAUGGGCGCAAGCCUGAUCCAGCCAUGCCGCGUGUGUGAAGAAGGCCUUCGGGUUGUAAAGCACUUUUGUCCGGAAAGAAAUCCUGUCGGCUAAUACCCGGCGGGGAUGACGGUACCGGAAGAAUAAGCACCGGCUAACUUCGUG